AUUGAACGCUGGCGGCAGGCCUAACACAUGCAAGUCGAACGAGUGGCGGAAGGGUGUGUAAUGUCUGGGAAACUGCCCGAUGGAGGGGGAUAACUCCUGGAAACGGUUGCUAAUAUCGCAUACCAUCGGAUGUUCCAUGAUGGGGUUAGCUAGCAGUUGGGGUAACGGCUCACCUAGGCGACGAUCCCUAGCUGGUCUGAGAGGAUGACCAGCAACACUGGAACCGAGACACGGUCCAGACUCCGACGGGAGGGAGCAGUGGGGAAUAUGGCACAAUGGGAGCAAGCCUGAUGCAGCCAUGCCGCGUGUAUGAAGAAGGCAGUCGGGUUGUAAAAUACUUUCAGCGAGGAGGCGUUACUCGCCGAAGAAGCACCGGCUAACUGAGUGCCAGCAGCCGCGGUAAUUC
rnacentral:rRNA from 1 species